CCCGGGGUUACUUGCGCGAAAGACAGUACCGCCAGUUCUGGGAAUCGCACAGGGGUGGGUACAAAUGGACCAGGACGCGGAGAUCACGGAAACAACGGUGCUGGGACCUUGUGCACAGAAUCCAGAUGCCAGAUGGGAAUUAAACAUUCGGCCGAGAAAAGCAAUCUAGUUCCCUGGGCUCGACUUUGACUCACUCCUUGGUCUGCACCAAUCCUCACAUCCCUCAGGUCCUCUAACUUUUACGACUGUAUCCAGAAACCGAUUCUUUGGUCUCUACGGCUCCAGAAGGCUCGCUCUUCAAGAAACGUUCCACUACCUUCGGUUAGAAGUGGAUACAUAUAUGAUUUUGGCCUAAAGAAAUCUUUGCAAAAAGGGAGAAUGCAAACUUGUCCUUUUCCUUUUGGAUUUACGGAGUGCCAGUAUCAGAGUCUAUUGAGGAGGAAUCUCUGAAAAUGACAGCUGAUGGGUGUAGAGACCCAUGCCCGGAAUCUCAGCAACUGAAGUGGUUGAAGCAGGAGCAUCUAGGCAGAGCUUAAACCAGGAAGCUGAGCGGCACCAUAGGUGUUGCUAACCAAGCAUAGCAGCAUAAUAAAAAUGGAGUGAUUAAAUGUA
rnacentral:lncRNA from 1 species